rnacentral:tRNA from 1 species
AAAGAUUUAGUUAAAUUCAAUAACAUUAGAAUGUCAAACUAAAAUUAUUUUCAGAAUAAUCUUUU